rnacentral:misc_RNA from 1 species
UAUAUAACUUUAUAGGUACAAAAUGACCUUUGCAUUUAACAUUCCAAACAAUUCUAGAGGUUUGUGAAAAUGACAUAGACCCAAAAAUACAAGGCAAAGCUGAACUUUUUCAUGCAGCAGUCCCAACUCGAAAAAUGAUUCAAUAGCUCUCAGGUCUACAAUAUGUGCACAGUGGGUAGAAAUAAAGAUGACAAGCGUGCACGUACCCAAAGGAAGGGACAGCAACAGCCUGUGCAAAUUUUAUUCAAUAAUGAUCCUUCCGCAGGUUCACCUACGGAAA